CGGACGGGUGAGUAACGCGUGGAUAACCUGCCGUAUACUGGGGGAUAACACUUAGAAAUAGGUGCUAAUACCGCAUAAGCGCACAGUCUCGCAUGAGACGGUGUGAAAAACUCCGGUGGUAUACGAUGGAUCCGCGUCUGAUUAGCUUGUUGGCGGGGUAACAGCCCCACCAAGGCGACGAUCAGUAGCCGGCCUGAGAGGGUGAACGGCCACAUUGGGACUGAGACACGGCCCAAACUCCUACGGAAGGCAGCAG
rnacentral:rRNA from 1 species